CACUGUUAACAAAGUAUUUCACAGUUAGCUUUACAAUCAACGUGCAUUAACAAACAUACUAAGUUAAGUUAAAGAAAUGUGAUUGAAAACAAUCAUUUUAAAAUAUAUAUCAAUGACGAUUUACUUGGGUAAAAUACUCUCAACCACUCCCCGUUCAAAUUACACUCUAAAAAAUGCUGGGUUAUUUGUUUAACCCAACAGCUGGGUUGAGCCUGUUGGGUCAUUUUGUUGGGUUAUUUUCUCAGUGUUGGGUCAUUUUUUGAGUAACCCAAACGCUGGGUUAGCAGUCGGGUCCAAUUGAGUAACAGUUGAGAGAGUAAACCCCUCCCACUCCUCGACGCAUCAGACAAACUCUACCUUCGCGGGCAUUUUGAUUCACCUCAUCUCGAAAAGUUGUUAUUCGGAGAAGAAAAGGAUGCAGAAUAACAGCUUAUAUUAAUGGAUCAUUCUAUUCAAGUGUAAGUCAACUGGAACGUGGAUGUUUUCAUAACAGGCUUAAAGAUGAACAAAUUGAUAAAGAAACCCUCCUGCUGAACAUCCACUUCCAAAAGUGCACGCCACACUGUUGUCUACAACUCCCAGGAAAAGAAUCCUCUUUAGUAAGACUGCUCCAUGGAUAUGUCAGGUUAAGCAGUGCUGAAACCGAAAGAACUAACGCUCUUUAAAAUGUUUUGUGAGUUUAUAUGCAGAGGAAAGUUACGGUGUCCCUUUUUCACAUCCAUAACGCUUGUUUAUUUCUUUUUUUAUAGAAAACUUGUGCAUAGACUGAUAUUUUAUCAUAUAAAUGCGGUUCUAUCAACAAGGGUUUAGUAAAAUACUUUUUAUAGUGUUUUUAUGUCGCAUCCAUAACGCUGGAAUUGCCCUAAAGCAUUUUACUCGUGCCACUUUGUUAACUGUAUAUGAAUUUUUGAAGUGUUAAGUUGUCUAACUAUUUAUAUUUACUUGUGCCACUUUAAUAACCUUGUUAAAUGUAUAUGUUAAAAUCUAAACUAAUGUAAUUUAUUGAAGUAAAUUUUCCUUAAAUAUGUAUAAACAUACAUUUCAUCAAAGUGUUUUAUAUGCCAUUUUAUUGUUCAUUGAGCAUAACAUAUUGCAUGUUUUUAUGAAUUCCUUUUGUCUUGCAUUCUGAUCCUUAAUAAAACUUUUGAUUCUUA